GAAGAAUUCCAUGGACAGAGGAACCUAGCAGGCUACGGUCCAUGGGAUCGCAAAAGAGUCAGACACGACUCAACGACUGACACAGAUGCACCCACAGUGAGAGACACUUACAAGCUCAGGAAAAACCAGACUCCUGUUGCCCUUCCUGGUCUCACUGCAGAGCAUGGUUCUUUGAGCUGGAAGAGUGUGCAAAAUCAGCUAUACCUACUUAAGUUGUUUCUCCCUCUUUCCCUUUAUCUGUGUGGUUUCCUUUAUUGCAUGUGGUUGAACUUCAAUAAGUUAAACACGGAUAUAAGGCAAUUCCACUGUAAGCACACUGGCUUCUACAUCAGACGUUUUCUUCAUUUCAUUUCUAGUUUUAGUAUGGAUGACUUUUGUUUUUUUUGCCCUCAGUUAUUUCACCCUUGGGCACACUUGCUCCACAGAAAACUGCAUUCCACUCUUUUCUUCAGUCUCCUCAGUCCCCUUUUCAUCUUUUUUUGCUCAAUAUCUACAAUUUGAGAUUUGUGCGAUUGCUGCUUCAAAGUUGAAAACUGAGCAAAUUAUAGCUGUGGAUUUUGUUCCUGAAGUGACAUGAGCAUGUUCAGGCCAUUUGCAGACUUCAUGGGAAACACUGGCAAUCCUAAAAGUAUUAUAGAAGGAUCAUGAUUUAUCCUAUUGUUUAGUAAGUAGAGCAGAGUUUCUUGGGAAGAGGAUGUAUUUCCAUAUUGUCACUUAAGAAUUGUGUAAAUCUUAUACUGGGCUGUGAGUUUUAAUUAACAAACUGCUUCCAUUCAGGUUGGAAUUCCUGAUUUAUUGAGGUUCUGUUUCACCUGCAUUCCACUUAAUUAAACCCAGAAGCUUCAAGCUUGAUUUACUGUCUCGUUUCCACUGAAAACACACUUCUCUUACAAUAUUUAUAACUUUCUUAAUAGGAUAGUUAUUGAAAAACAAGCCUUUGUUCACUCUGAUGAUACUCAAAAAUUAUAAAAAUUCAAAAUCUUCUUUUCAUCUCCUCAUUUCUCUGCGUGAAAGCCCACAGAGGUUCCCCAUUGCCUAGAAGACAAUGUCUCAGAUGUUUUUCACCUGAUACAUGUGCCAGCAAUUUCCACUUGGCAGAAAAACUCCCACAGAGCCUCUGGUCCCGAGGAGGUGUACUCUCUGGAUUAUGUUUGUAACCCAUAUCCCUCUGGCCUCACCAGUGCAAAUGGGGUCAUGGUUUAACCUAGUGCCUCCUGAUUGACAGUCUCCACCUGCGUGAGGGCAGGUUGCCCUUCUCAGGUUCCUUCUAAUUUCUUCCAGUGGGUCUUCGGGAGUGCUUUACAUGGGCUCCCAGCCCUCUGCUUGUCCUCGGCUGUCCUUCAGUUGCAACGCGUUGAUCCCUGUCCUGGACACGGAUUGCUGCUACCCCUGCCAUGCUGACUUCAAGGAAAACUAAAGAAGUUGUGCUUGUUUACUCACACCAUCCAGAGAAAGACAAACACUCGUUCUGCUAGUGGAAAGCCCUUAUGGUUUCACAUAUGAAUCUGCAUGCGUAACCCAGAACUGGGCAGAGAGCAAUUCUGCAGAGUGGAUCUGUUUCCAUAUGUGAAGGCAAUUGAUCCAAUGAAGAGGGUACUACAUGUGUUCUUUUAGAAAUGCAAAAACCAUAGUGAGAGAGAGUGAGUAGCAUAGCAGGAGUGUGGAGGCAAGGAAGAAAACAAAGGCUGGGAUGUCACCAGCAAAAUGUCACUUCAGUUGUGUCGAACUCUGUGCGACCCCAUAGACGGCAGCCC